AUGAACAGGAAGGGAAGAUUAGUUUACAUCAACUUUGUGGUCACGGCCUCUGCUACCUUCUUCCUAACGGCUUUUCAACCGGACAAAUGGUUCAUAAAGCGGGUUGAUAAGAUGAGAAGAAAUUUCCUUUGGGAAUGUGAGGAGGGGACUGCUGGUGGCAAAAGUCUUGUCAAUUGGGCGCAAGUUUGCUCCCCCAAGAAAUAUGGUGGUUUAGGAGUGAAGAAUAUUGAAUGUUUCAGCCGGGCUCUGCGGCUGAGGUGGGAGUGGUUUCGAUGGGAUGGAGUGGACAGGCCGUGGAAGGGCACCCCAACGCCGUGCGACAGCUCUGACAAGCAGCUCUUCUCGAGCUGUACCACAAUUCAGUUGGGUGAUGGCUCUCUUGCUUCCUUCUGGAUGGACAGAUGGCUGAAUGGGGUUGCACCUGCUGUUCUUGCUCCGGAGAUCUUCAAAUUGACCCGCCUCAAAAGGUUAUUGGUCAAGGAGGCGAUGGACAAUGGGCGAUGGAUGAAAGGGUUACAGCGUAUGCAUACUGAUGCCAGAUCGAGCAGUUUGUCAAGCUUUGGGGGGAGGUGCAGAAUGUGA
rnacentral:rRNA from 1 species